rnacentral:ncRNA from 1 species
UGACCUCGGAUCAGGUAGGGAUACCCGCUGAACUUAAGCAUAUCAAUAAGCGGAGGAAAAGAAACCAACCGGGAUUGCCUCAGUAACGGCGAGUGAAGCGGCAAGAGCUCAAAUUUGAAAGCUGGCUCCUUCGGGGUCCGCAUUGUAAUUUGCAGAGGAUGCUUCGGGUGCGGCCCCUGUCUAAGUGCCCUGGAACGGGCCGUCAGAGAGGGUGAGAAUCCCGUCUGGGAUGGGGUGUCCGCGCCCGUGUGAAGCUCCUUCGACGAGUCGAGUUGUUUGGGAAUGCAGCUCUAAAUGGGUGGUAAAUUUCAUCUAAAGCUAAAUACUGGCCGGAGACCGAUAGCGCACAAGUAGAGUCAACAUUAGGGUCAACAUUAGGGUCA